rnacentral:rRNA from 1 species
GAGGAGCUUGCUCCUCUGACGUUAGCGGCGGACGGGUGAGUAACACGUGGAUAACCUACCUAUAAGACUGGGAUAACUUCGGGAAACCGGAGCUAAUACCGGAUAAUAUAUUGAACCGCAUGGUUCAAUAGUGAAAGACGGUUUUGCUGUCACUUAUAGAUGGAUCCGCGCCGCAUUAGCUAGUUGGUAAGGUAACGGCUUACCAAGGCAACGAUGCGUAGCCGACCUGAGAGGGUGAUCGGCCACACUGGAACUGAGACACGGUCCAGACUUCUACGGGAGGCAGCAGUAGGGAAUCUUCCGCAAUGGGCGAAAGCCUGACGGAGCAACGCCGCGUGAGUGAUGAAGGUCUUCGGAUCGUAAAACUCUGUUAUUAGGGAAGAACAAAUGUGUAAGUAACUAUGCACGUCUUGACGAUACCUAAUCAGAAAGCCACGGCUAACUACGUGCCAGCAGCCGCGGUAAUACGUAGGUGGCAAGCGUUAUCCGGAAUUAUUGGGCGUAAAGCGCGCGUAGGCGGUUUUUUAAGUCUGAUGUGAAAGCCCACGGCUCAACCGUGGAGGGUCAUUGGAAACUGGAAAACUUGAGUGCAGAAGAGGAAAGUGGAAUUCCAUGUGUAGCGGUGAAAUGCGCAGAGAUAUGGAGGAACACCAGUGGCGAAGGCGACUUUCUGGUCUGUAACUGACGCUGAUGUGCGAAAGCGUGGGGAUCAAACAGGAUUAGAUACCCUG